ACGGAAGGCAGCAGUGGGGAAUAUUGCACAAUGGGCGCAAGCCUGAUGCAGCAACGCCGCGUGCGGGAUGAAGGCCUUCGGGUUGUAAACCGCUUUCAGCAGGGAAGAAACUGACGGUACCUGCACAAGAAGCUCCGGCUAACUACGUGCCAGCAGCCGCGGUAAUACGUAGGGAGCAAGCGUUAUCCGGAUUUAUUGGGCGUAAAGCGCGCGUAGGCGGGCUAUUAAGCGAGGUGUUAAAGAUUGGGGCUCAACCCCGACACGCACCUCGAACUGGUAGUCUUGAGUUCGGUAGGGGAAAGUGGAAUUCCCAGUGUAGCGGUGAAAUGCGCAGAUAUUGGGAAGAACACCGGUGGCGAAGGCGGCUUUCUGGGCCGUAACUGACGCUGAGACGCGAAAGCUAGGGGAGCAAACAGGAUUAGAUACCCUGGUA
rnacentral:rRNA from 1 species